rnacentral:lncRNA from 1 species
GGACACUAGCUCUUUCGGGUUCGACAGCGUCGCGAUUUGGCUCUUUCCAGGGGAACAGUGGCGGGGCAUUUGCUGAUGCGCCUGGUUCAUGGAUCCCAGGACGUUCCACUAGAAAGCUUGGACUGCAGUUAGGAGCUCCCUCCCCUUCCCUGUCCACAGUGUUUCAUAGACCGUACUUAGGCCCGUAGGCUCAGAACGACCCAUCACCACACCCACGCUGACACACGCACACACACACUGAAGUGUACCUUGAUCAUACACUCACACUUACUUAUACAGACUGUUCCUCACUCUGCCCCAGUAACAACCCUUCCUCCUCUAGACUUUGAGAUGGAGAGAGGGAUCUGUGCACAUCGUUCUCCGGUGCUCCCACAUCUCCUGCUGGUCUGGUUUGUCCUGGAAGGAGUUUAAGAGGGACAGGCCCCAGCUGGGUGCCGGCUGGGACUCUGAGCCCCCCUUCUGGGGCCUAACGGGGCUUCAUAGAACCUGGGCAGGAGCUGACUCUCUGGGCACCCGGACGCUCCCUAUUUCACUCCAUUUUGGGACAGGAGAAAGGAGCUCUUUGGGGCCACUUCAUGCCUUCUUCCCAAGUAGGAUUGGGAAGAGCCCUGUCUCCAGCCUGCAGAGGGUGCCCCGUCCUCUUCCCUCCAAGAACCAGCCUGAGACGCCUUUCCUCUGUGCCUGGGAAAUGCGACCCUUUCCUGAGAGCACGGGUCGGGACCAAUGAGGCUGGGUUCCAGUUUUUAUCUGUCCUGUUCGUGGGUUUGCCCGGACCAAUCCAGACCCGGAAAAACGAAAACACAGCUCGGGGAGCCCCCACCAGCCGGCGCCUGUGCCAGCUCACCUCUGGCCAUGGCGCAGCUGCUGGUGCACACAGCGGCCAAGGCCAGCUCCACAUUCCUCCCUCCAGCUCCCCACUUCACCGGAGACCGAGCCCUGCAUGCAGAGGAAGGGCCCCAGCUCCACAGACUGCCAAAGUCGACAGGGUGCCUCCUCACCAAAAAUGGUGAGACAAGAUUUCAUCUUGUCUGCUGAGGAGCAACAAGCAGGAGGGGUGGGAGCGCAGAGAUAAUGGCAAAGGAAGAAAGAUUCAGAGAGGAAAAAAAUGGCUGAGAAGCUGAGGCUAACUAAGAGGGAAAGAGAGAAAGAGAAAAACACCCGAACAGAAUAGCAUCUUCGAAUUUGCAGUUGAUCAGACCGUUUGGGAAAGAGACAAGUGAGGGGCUGCUCUGUUCAUGGUGGACUUUGCGAGUUUCCCCACCUCUGUCCCCACGAGGGCAGACACUGUACUCUUUUUCUUGAGGAAAAAGGGUAGAUUCUGAAGAAACCUGGGCCGAAGCUGGCCAGUAGGCAGAGAAAUGGCACCUCCUGAGUCACUUGCUCAAACCUUUGUUGUAGCUUUGUGUGCAUUUGAAGCAUUAAUGAGGCAGCAAAAAGCCCAAGGCUGUAGGGACAGUUUUGGACUGUGGGAAGUCACUUGGCACUGUGGCGGCUAACUGCUAACAUGAUGAAAGUGGGAGGAAAUGCAAGGUCCAGGAAGACCUGGGAAAACCCCGUCUGCCUUUAAGAUUCCCUAAGCUGGUGGAUUUUGAGGAGAACAAAUUUUUGAAGGAGCAGCUCUCCCGUUGCCUGGUGGGUUCGUUCAGUACCAGGCCUUCAAGGCCAGCAGUGCACUACCUCUCAGAAAGGACGACGCAAGGCCAGGGAGGGCCCCGGUUCCAGCACUGGCCUGCAGUGUUUCCCCUAGAAAGUCCGUGAGCAAGGAGAGGGGCGCCCCCUCUCUCGUUUUGAGCAACCAGCCCCUAAUCCUAGGCUCGCUGGAGGAGCAACACCCAGCCCCCGGCCCCUGCACAGUGCCAGGCGGCGCGGCCCCCAGACUUCCUAGGGUUGGCGCAAACAUGGAGUGAGGGGCGCGUUCCUGCCUGAGACCGGCUGCCUUCGGGCUCUGGGAGGCCUGGGUGAUACCGCCAGUGGCGCUGAUGAUGGCGAGGGGAGUGCCGCCUGCCCCGAUGGCGCCGCCGCAGCUCUCCUCUUGACUGAACCUGGAAACUCAGCCUUCGCUUAAAGGACAGGGGCAUACGUUCGAAGCAGAGGGAACUCGGAGCAACGCUCAGCCGGAAGGAGGAAACGCCUUCUCGAAGUCCUCAGCGGCCCCGCGGGUGUACCCAUCCUUUGCACUGCGGGGGCCCCUGCCGCCCCGGGAGUGAGCUCCCCGUCAACCGGCCGACCAGGGCGCUGGGAGAGCGCAGGACGGCCCGAGGAAUUCCGGGCGGUUGCGACGUGAAAAGGGAGAGAGAACUGUGUCGCGGCUGCUCUCUGUCCCUGCCACUGCCCAAAAGGAGUCCCACCCGCCGGCCUCCGCCCCGAUCCCAGCUUAAUGCUCACGCUCACAACAAAACAGGAAACCAGCGCGGGGCUGUGGAUUCAUUAUGUCAACAAAUACACUGAAGACAUUCGAGUGUUUGAAGGAAAUAGGGGGUUUGGACGUCAGCCUGGCCCCCUUGGAGCCCCGGCAUUCUCGCGGAAAAACCGGUGCAGGCAACCAGGAGGCCAGCGGCCUGGGCCCGCGUGGGUCCGUCUCUCCUCAGAAGCCUGCAGACUCCCCCGUCCUGACCAGGGUUGAGAACUCUGAUGAGUAGAGCAACUGAGGGAAGGAAACUCACCCGCGCAGCCACGAGAAAGGGGAACUCGGAGAACGCAGAGGCGUGAUCAGACAUUUACGGCACGUUACGUGCUGUAAGCAUAACAAUAUAUGUCUUGAUAUGCACACACAGAUUCACACAUCAGAUGCACACACACACACACAGUGAACGCAGACGUCUAUCGUCAUGUGGGUGAAAUACAGGCAUCAUAUCAAAUCCUGAGGAAAAAUGUUUCACCCUGUUGGACCAGCCUUGUGACAUACUUCGGGGUGGUUGGCGUCUGCCUAUCCCGUUCUGAUUUUUUUUCCGACUACUUACUAUUCCCUCCCCGGUGGCUUUGUAAAUACACCUGUCCCCAGUGGAAGGCGAGCCCCGGACUGGCAUUUACCUGGUUGGGGUGCUCUCCCCAGAAACUCUGGCUGGCUCUGGGGACCCGCGCUGAGUCGAUCAGCAGGACCGACGCCGCUCAUGGCGCAGCCGCCGCUUCUUUGCCCCGCUGCUCCAGCCCCGCUCGGCCCAAUCCUCAAGGAAACGAAGCAGUUCAAUAAAAACUUUUGAUAUUAGUUUUUAUGGGUAUUU